rnacentral:rRNA from 1 species
UACAGAGACUGCAAGCGUUAUUCGGAUUCACUGGGCGUAAAGGGUGCGCAGGCGCCAAGUGUGUCAGGUGUGAAAUCCCGAGGCGUUAACCUCGGAACUGCGCCUGAAACUACUUGGCUAGAGUACUGGAGAGGGUAACGGAAUUCACGGUGUGGCAGUGAAAUGCGUAGAUAUCGUGAGGAACACCAGAGGCGAAGGCGGUUACCUGGACAGUUACUGGACGCUCAGGCACGAAAGCGUGGG